rnacentral:tRNA from 1 species
GGACGUAGCUCAGUGGUAAAGCUUUUGCCUAGCAUGUACAAGACCCUGGGUUCCAUCCCAGUGCCA